rnacentral:lncRNA from 10 species
GAAUGAAAUUUUUGGUUCGACGGUGGCAUCGAGUCACAGGUUCUGUUUCCAUCAAUAUUAACAGAGAUGGCUUUGGACUGAAUCAAGGUGCAGAAAAGACUGACUCAUUUUAUCAUUCUUCUGGUGGGCUGGAGUUAUAUGGAGAACCAAGACAUACUACGUAUCGCUCAAGAUCAGAUCUGGACUAUAUUAGGUCCCCUUUACCAUUUCAGAAUAGGUAAGAAUAUGAGAAAACCUGCCUGGAAUUGUUAAAUGUAUUAAUAUUUAACAGAGAUAAAUGGACAUUUUUAGGGCUUUGACUUCUUUGCAUUGAGAUAGACAUCUUUGUUAUAUAUAAUUUACAUAAUAUGACCAAGUGCGGUGGCUCACACCUAUAAUCCCAGCACUUUGGGAGGCUGAGGCGGGCAGAUCAUGAGGUCAGGAGUUCAAGACCAGCUAGUUGGAGACUAGCCUGGCCAACAUGGUGAAACCCUGUCUCUACUAAAAAUACAAAAAAUUAGCCAGGCGUGGUGGCAGGCGCCUGUGGUCCCAGCUACUUGGGAGGCUGAGGCAGGAGAAUGGUGUGAACCCGGGAGGCGGAGCUGGCAGUGAGCUGAGAUUGUGCCACUGCACUCUGGCCUGGGCAACGGAGCGAGACUCUGUCUCAAAAAAAAAUACAAAAAAAUUAGCCAGGCAUGGUGGUGGGUGCCUGUAAUCCCAGCUACUCAGGAGGCUGAGGCAGGAG